CCGCCUAGAGGUGGCGGUUUUAGGGGGGGUAGAGACGGGGGACGCGGUGGUCGCGGCGGCGGUUCUCGUGGUCGCGGUUUUGGCGGUCGCGGUGGUGGUGGUGGGUUUCGUGACGAGGGACCUCCUUCUGAAGUCGUCGAAGUUUCCACUUUUCUUCAUGCCUGUGAGGGUGAUGCUGUGACAAAGCUCACCAAUGAGAAAAUACCAUACUUCAAUGCCCCAAUCUUUCUACAAAACAAGACCCAGAUAGG
rnacentral:misc_RNA from 1 species